GCCGCCGCCCCAGAAAAGGGUUCUUUUUUCCUAGAAACUACCUCCAAAUAUAGUAACAGGGAAGGGGCAUUCCUAGAAAUUCGGGAGACGUCAGAAAGGGAAGAUUUGUGAAAUUCAGCUUCGCUUCCUGCAGAGGGCUCCUAGCACAGGGGAACAAAAAAAAAAAAUCAAGUGAGCAGUGAAGUGCUUUUCAUGCUUUUCUGAUCAGAUAAUGGUUAAAAAAAGGAGGAUCGGUAAAACACUUAACUCGCAUUUCUCCGAUACGAUCUAGGAGUUUCAUACAGGAAGAAGGCUAAUCAGUAACCCCCUUUCCUCAUUUUCUACUGAUGUUUAUAGAUGCCUAUCUCCUGUAUUUACUUUCCCUGGUGUCCUUGUAUCAGACCUGUGCAAAUAAUAGGAGUAUGUGUAUGAGUGAAAAAUGGGCUGAACGAUAACCCUCCCAUGUAUCACAGGAAGGCUAAUUAAUGUUCGUGUGUCAUUUUAAACAGGCUUUGCGGGCUGCGUCUUUCACGCUACACCGAUGUGAAUAAUUCAUGUUAUUACGGUAGAUGUGUGCAAUAUUGUUACUCGCAUGAAUGGGGAUUUGUAGGUUGGCUUUUACUUAAGGGCCCAGUACUGAGAAUUGCUGAGUGCUGUCUGUCCCCAUUGACUUAAUGGUAUCCUAGGCUGUUAAUUAAUUCUGCUCAGCAAUUCAUAGGAUCAGGCCUUGACUGACAAAUAUAAAUUGGGGCUUGCAGGAGACCCGCACACUGGCAUGAGCCGCUAUUAUUCCUCACAUGUCUUCUAAAUCUGUAUAUUUGCUUUGUGCUUGUGUCUGACAACCAUUCCUUCUUUAGUCAUGUCUUUUAAAAAAAUGCCAGUUGAUAUAUUUCAUACAAAAGAGAAAUUAAUGUUUGCAAAGCAGUAAAUGGAUGAAGAAGUUAUUUAUAUGCUAUUAGUAAUAUAAAGAUGUCAAUGCAUUUGUAACAAAGCAUCAUUUAUCUAGGAAUAGCAAAGGCUGCUAUAAAAAACACAAUAGCCAGCUUUUGGAGAAAGAUGAUAGAUUUCUUUCAAUGUGUGCAACUCUUGCAGGUUAAUUGAAUUUCUGUAAUGAAAUUCCCCACAGCCACAUGAAAUCCUUGGGUUUGUUCUUUGAAUUUCAUUAUGAUUUGCAGAGUCUUCUCUGCCCCCAAAUCAAAUGCAAUAAAAACAUUGGAGUCUGGCUUUACUUCAGUGCUUUAUAAACCCUCACAUUUAAUCAAAACUUAGUUAUACCAAACUUGUCUGUCUGCAGUUCUGAAGGGGAAUUAGCAGAAUUCACCUGGCAAUCCUGUGUGCUUUGACACCUAAGUGUGUUUUAACUGUUAUUGCAGUGCUCAAUAAACAAUUGCUUCAAAAUGUAGAGCCAGCUUUCUGAGAGGUGCACCCACAGUAUUUCAUUGGCAAUAAUGCCUGGUUAGAAGUAGAUUUAUUGUAAGCAAUCACUUGGAAUUCAAAACAACUCUAGUUAAUUGCAAAAAGGCCUUUUUAAGCUGGCUGCCUUACUUAAGACAUGCUGCUCUACUCUGCCUGUCACUCUCAUUUCCUGAGAGAAAAAGUGAAUGGCAGCUCGAAGUUCAGGAUCUUUUGAUCAUUAGAAGAAAUGGAUGUGCUGUCCUCUGUUGGCCAUACCGGUUGUCACAUGUGAAAUUCAAUUAACUCGAAAAGGCAGCAAGAGGCUCUGUUUAAACAACAAAAGUGAUGAAACUAAAUUAAAUUUUCUUCACCUCCUGCUUUCAGCAAUAAGAGUGCACAGUGUGAGGGAUUUCUAAAUAAAAAAAAUGAUGCGAUGAUGGAUACUAGAAGCUGGAUUAAGAAAAGGACUCAUCUCACCUGAUACCACGCUACAGAUUCUGUCCUGGGAUUCGGCCCCAUUGGACGCCGGCUGCUGUUCUAACCACUCGCUGUGGGCCACCUGCCCUGCGGUGCCCAACAUGGUGGGGGACACAAGGAGCUGCAGCUGCCCUCCAGCUCCGGGGCUGCUCCCGGUGGGGGCUGCAGCGCUGCCAUGCCUGUGGUGAGAGAGGAUCUGCCUAGUUAAAUUUUCAGUCACACAGUCCUGUCUGGGGACAGGGCCACGUGUGCCAGUUGGGAUGUUUGUGCGAUGUGAUGGCAGCUCUGCAGCUUCUUGUGGUGCUGGAACUAGGGCAGCUCGGGCUGCGCUGGGUACACGGAAUGCAGGUUCCCUCAGUCCUGCUCGUGGUGUCCUCUGUGAGGUGCCAUGUGCAGAAAUGCUCUGCUCUGUGUUGGGAAGCAGCAGGAAUGUGUCCGCUUUGGGUUCUUGUUUCAAGAACAGUAAGUAGCAACUAGAGAGGAUCCCGGGGGACUUUAGCAAGGAUAAUGAGAGGCGCGAUCAGAGGUGUAGAAAACCCGACCUAAAGGAGAGAUUUUAAAAUUUGGUGAUUGUGUUGUCUAGAAAGGAGAAUGCUGAAGGCAAAUAUAAUAAUGCUUUCAAAAAGGCUUGAUGUUGUGUAAAUGAAUCUAUGACAUGGCAGUAAACCUGUGUGGUAUGUUAAUUAUUUCUACAUCUUGACUGCUACUGGAGCUUGCAGUUUCUGGUCUGCACUAGCUUCUCUUACACUGUGAUUUCAGAGAUAGUUUUCUGAUUAUGAAAUUAAUUUCAAUUAAAUAACCAUAAGACAUGUCUUAAAAUAUUACUUAGCAAAAUUUUUACCAUGCUAAUAAUUUAUCAGUGUUAUUUAGCAAAAUGUAAUUUCUGUCUGCACACUGUGGAGAACCAGGCUCUGUAUUAUCUGAUUUCUGUGUGUGUCCUGCAGCACAGACAGGCCUCAAACCUUUGUUUUGUGGGUGGGUGAGAUGCAACCAUAGCUCUUGUGCAUACCUCGCUUAGUCUUAUGUUGCUGAAAAACAAGCAAGGAUUGACAAAAGCAUUACUCAUCACAGGCAGGGUGGAUCCUCUCCAGGUUUCUACCUGUGGUUGUAGUAACAGCAAGCAGUAUUUAUCAGAUAUGUUUUGUCCUUGAGGCUGAUUUUUAUGUUUAGUUUUGCAAACAUUCUUAUGAAAGCAGCUUCAGGGACACAGCUGCUCCUCACUGUCCUUCAUAUCCAUGAAUACAAGUACCUGAGAGAACAGAAACCAAUUUAGAACAUUUGAGGCUGUUGUUUUGCAUGUGCUCUGUGCUGAAACUGUCACUGCUCAAAAUCAAUAAUUUAUAUUUUUCUUCUCUCUGGGGAGAUUGGGCAGCUUUGUCACAGAUUUCACACUAGAGAUUUCAGGUUCGGAAAUGGGCUGGAUGGUAUGCACUAUGAUUUCUUCUCUGCUGCUGCUUCAUCAAAUUUACAGCAAAUUUGCUUAAGAGCAGUUCUGGAGACCUGUAAAUAUUGACAGUAAGUUAAGUGAAAAAAAAUUUGUAAUUACAUUGUAAUUAAGACAUCCAGAUAAUCUUCAUAACACUAAACCUGUGCAAAGAAAAUGUAGAAUAAAUGGUUACAGCCUUUCUUUAAUUCAAAACACAACUUGAAUGAUGAUUUGGACCUACCAACAGAACGUGCGUAUUUUAUUUUAAAAUAUUUUAGAAAAUAUAGUGUAAAUAAUUAAUGACGGUUAUUAUUGUUCACAUAACAAUAGUACAGUUUUUAUUUUAGGCAACAGUGUGCACAACAUGAGAGGAAGAUUCGUCAGGAAGGAAAAACUGACUCUGUGGACUAAUCAAAGGUCAGUGAUGGUAAGCAAAUAUCAAACAUGAAUCAGUAAAGAUUUCCUUCAGUUUGUAGCACUGUUAUUUACAUUGUUUUGACAGUUUUAAGCACUGUCAGCACUUAACUUCGUGUGCUGGUGUCAGGUCCAUUGCUGUCCCUGAGCUGGACUUCCUGGCUGCCCGUGAUCCCGCUGGACCAGCUGUGUGUGCAGAGCCCGGUCUUUGCUCGUGCUUGGACAUGGGUGAGCAUCAUGCUUUUUUUUUGAACGUGACCAGUCCAGCCCUUCCUUUCCUGUUUUGAACGUGCCAGGGAGGUUUUCUGUUUAUAAGGAUAUAAAAUGUAAAGUGGACACUAACCAGAUUGCAAUUAAUACUUCUAAGUGAUUACUGCUACAGAUGAAGAAACCUCAUGGUUCACUAACCAGAAGGCAGAACUAAAUUAAUAAAUAAUUAAUUUAAUUAGGAGGAGGGGAGGGGCAUGGUAGCUGCAGCCUGUGGAGAACAUCUCUUCAAAUAGAGUUUGCAGAGGCUUCACUUGUUCGUCGCAGGAGCGAAUCCGUGUGGUGGUGGGUGCUGGCACGUGUAGGACACGCGUGGGACACGGCUUCGCAGUUAUCUUGGAGGGAUUCAAGAAUGUUGCAGCAUGAAGUAGUCCUGCAGUACUUGUUCUGUGGAGAAGACUGGAUGCUCAUCUCCAGGCUCAAGGUCUACAAGAAAAAUUACCUGCUCCAACAUCAGUUAUGUCCACGGCACAGCUGGUAUAUGUCGUCAGACACACUUGAAAUCAUAAAGGACAUCUCCAUUCAAAAAAACUGUUUCACUUUUAUUGCAUCAGAUUUGAAGAGAUUUAUACACAAUAACAAACACCUGAUGCAGAAUUUUAAAAGUGGAAGCCAGAAAAAGAUCUCCGCGGCUCUUUGGAUGUUUCUACAAGGUAAUAUUCAACACCAACUCUUCACCUGAACAGAGCCCUCCCUGGGCAAACAACUGAUAACCACGGGGCGUGGGGCUGUGUGACACAGCCAG